GGGGGUAGGGCACAGAGACGUGAAUAAUAAUUGUAAUUGUGAUGAGGCUGCGUGAACUGAACUUUUAUCUUGCUGCCAUCCCCAAGGCACCAGACCUGUGGUCGAGGGAGAAACUUCCUGGCGAUUUGGGCCUGCCAGCAAUCAUUGCGAGCCGAGGGCUGCUCUUAGGUAAAGACAAUGGGCACUGGUUGCUCUUUCUCAAAUGUGAAAAAGACACAUCACAUCGGUGGUGGGAGACGCCAUCCUCGCCUCCAAGAGAAGAGCAAUAGCAGCUAUGAGACACACACAGUCAGGUUCCAUACGGAGUCUCCAGCUGGCCUUCGUGGAGCAAGGGACUGGGCAAGCCUGCCCGGUUGUACGGUCACCCUUUGGAGGGUACUCUUUGCUGCUAAUGAUCCAUGAAGAGGGGGUUGCUGAUGCCUGAAGGGGAUCUUGGACAAAGGAGCUACACUCAGCUCUGGAUAACUCUUUGCUGGCCUUUCCCUAAACUAAAUAAACAUUGAAUACUAA
rnacentral:lncRNA from 1 species